rnacentral:snoRNA from 1 species
UCCUUUUUAUUCUCUGAAGGACAGAGAAAGAGGAACCAAAGCCCAUAGACCAUAUCAGGAGCAUAAAAAAAUGUCCCCCUAGGUUUUCUAUAUAUGCUACUUUGUUAGCAGCCAACCUAUUGGGACCAUUU